UACGGAUGGGGCGAGCGUUGUUCGGAAUCAUUGGGCGUAAAGGGCGCGUAGGUGGUUCUGUAUGUCUACCGUGAAAGCGUACGGCUCAACCGUAUUUUGUCGGUAGAAACUGCAGGACUUGAGGCUGGGAGGGGCUGGUGGAAUUCCCUGUGUAGCGGUGAAAUGCGUAGAGAUGGGGGAGAACACUCGUGGCGAAGGCGGCCAGCUAGACCAGUUCUGACACUGAGGCGCGACAGCGUGGGGAGCAAACAGG
rnacentral:rRNA from 1 species